rnacentral:rRNA from 1 species
GGGCCCGCACAAGCGGUGGAGCAUGUGGUUUAAUUCGAUGAUACGCGAGGAACCUUACCAGGGCUUAAAUGUUAGGUGACAGAUCUAGAAAUAGAUUUUUCUUCGGACACUUAACAAGGUGCUGCAUGGUUGUCGUCAGCUCGUGCCGUGAGGUGUCAGGUUAAGUCCUAUAACGAGCGCAACCCCUGUUGUUAGUUGCCAGCGAGUAAUGUCGGGAACUCUAGCGAAACUGCCGGUGUAAACCGAGAGGAAGGUGGGGAUGACGUCAAAUCAUCACGGCCCUUACGUUCUGGGCUACACACGUGCUACAAUGGCCGGUACAGAAAGCAGCCACUAUGCGAAUAGGAGCUAAUCUUUAAAACCGGUCUCAGUUCGGAUCGCAGUCUGCAACUCGACUGCGUGAAGCUGGAAUCGCUAGUAAUCG